rnacentral:rRNA from 1 species
UGCCCAMGGGACAGSCCGGCGGUAAWWUACGGAGGGUGKCCAGCGUUAUCUGAUUAUGGUUUAAAGGUCCGUWAGGCGGAUCUGUAAAGUCAGUGGUGAAAUCUCACAGCUUAACUGUGAAACUGCCAUUGAUACUGCAGGUCUUGAGUGUGUUGAAGUAGCUGGAAUAAGUAGUGUAGCGGUGAAAUGCAUAGAUAUUACUUAGAACACCAAUUGCGAAGGCAGGUUACUAAGCAACAACUGACGCUGAUGGACGAAAGCGUGGGGAGCGAACAGGAUUAGAUACCCUGGUAGUCCACGCCGUAAACGAUGCUAACUCGUUUUUGGUAUUUCGGUAUCAGAGACUAAGCGAAAGUGAUAAGUUAGCCACCUGGGGAGUACGUUCGCAAGAAUGAAACUCAAAGGAAUUGACGGGGGCCCGCACAAGCGGUGGAUUAUGUGGUUUAAUUCGAUGAUACGCGAGGAACCUUACCAAGGCUUAAAUGGGAAAUGACAGGUUUAGAAAUAGACUUUUCUUCGGACAUUUUUCAAGGUGCUGCAUGGUUGUCGUCAGCUCGUGCCGUGAGGUGUUAGGUUAAGUCCUGCAACGAGCGCAACCCCUGUCACUAGUUGCCAUCAUUAAGUUGGGGACUCUAGUGAGACUGCCUACGCAAGUAGAGAGGAAGGUGGGGAUGACGUCAAAUCAUCACGGCCCUUACGCCUUGGGCCACACACGUAAUACAAUGGCCGGUACAGAGGGCAGCUACACAGCGAUGUGAUGCAAAUCUCGAAAGCCGGUCUCAGUUCGGAUUGGAGUCUGCAACUCGACUCUAUGAAGCUGGAAUCGCUAGUAAUCGCGCAUCAGCCAUGGCGCGGUGAAUACGUUCCCGGGCCUUGUACACACCGSCSGUCAAGCCAUGGAAGUCUGGGGUACCUGAUAGUCGGUGACCGUAAUAGGAGCGMGMWRGGGAARYWRYWCUUYSAMACC